UACAGAGGUCCCGAGCGUUGUUCGGAUUCACUGGGCGUAAAGGGUGCGUAGGUGGUGGGGUAAGUCGGAUGUGAAAUCUCGGAGCUUAACUCCGAAACUGCAUUCGAUACUGCCGUGCUUGAGGACUGGAGAGGAGACUGGAAUUUACGGUGUAGCGGUGAAAUGCGUAGAUAUCGUAAGGAAGACCAGUGGCGAAGGCGGGUCUCUGGACAGUUCCUGACGCUGAGGCACGAAGGCCAGGGGAGCAAACGGG
rnacentral:rRNA from 1 species